rnacentral:rRNA from 1 species
UACGUAGGGGGCAAGCGUUGUCCGGAAUCAUUGGGCGUAAAGGGUGCGUAGGCGGCAUGAUAAGUUAUUGGCGGCAAAUCGAGGCUCAACCUCGUGGAAACUGAUAAUACUGUCUUGCUUGAGUGCAGAAGAGGUUAACGGAACUCCAUGUGGAGCGGUAAAAUGUGUAGAUAUAUGGAAGAACAUCAAUAACGGCGAAGGCAGUUAACUAUUCUGUUACUGACGUUGAGGCACGAAAGCGUGGGGAGCAAAAAGG